rnacentral:rRNA from 1 species
AAACGUAGGAGGCGAGCGUUAUCCGGAGUUACUGGGCGUAAAGCGCGUGCAGGCGGGUUGUUAAGUUGGUUAUGAAAGCUCCUGGCUAAACUGGGAGAGGUUGACCAAGACUGGCAGUCUAGAGUGGAUGAGAGGUUGACGGAAUUCCGCGUGUAGUGGUGAAAUGCGUAGAGAUGCGGAGGAACACCAGUGGCGAAGGCGGUCAACUGGCAUCCAACUGACGCUCAGACGCGAAAGCAUGGGUAGCGAACGGGAUUAGAAACCCCAGUAGUCC